GUCCUUUUGCCGCAAAUUAGCAAAUUUAAAAACAACUCGUUUGGUUUUCUUACAGCUGCAUUGAAAGAGGUGUGAGGAAUCCCAAAGUACUCAAAUCAGGGGAAUCCCAAAAACCUGAAGGACUUAGUCCAAUACUCACCGUUUGGCUUUUGGAGCUCACAACAAAACAGGGCAGGAACAAGAUCAUGAGGUGUCCCUCCUAAAGAGUCCAGCUUUCUGAUCAAUGCUCUCCUUCUUCAACACUACAAGCGUGGUGCGUACUACUCACGGGGGGGCGCCAGUGAGUUUGCCUUCCACAUCAUCAAUGUCAUUGAAAAGGCGGGCGGUGCUGUUCUCGUCAGGGCUCCGGUACACCGUGUCCUGCUCAACCGGCAGAACAAGGCCUACGGUGUGACGGUGCUCAAAGGACAAGAAGAGAUUGAGGUCCAUGCCCCUGUUGUCAUUUCUAAUGCUGGCAUUUUCAACACAUUCGAGACGUUUCUACCUCAGCCCAUACAGGAGAAACCAGAGAUCCAGUCACUGUUGGGUUUGGUGCGCCAUGGCAUGGGUUCCUUCUUGUUCUUUGUUCAUCUGGAUGGAACCAAAGAGGAGCUGCAUCGUUUCCACCAACUUUUGGAUAUAUAAAGACAAUGACUUGGACUCACUGUACGCCACCUAUCACCACCUUGAAGAUCAUACCUUAUUGGCUUGCUAACUUCCUGGUUCGAAUCGGCCUGUUGGAUCGCAUAUCUUCAGUGUUUAGCCUAGCAACAACCAGCCAUUCAGAAAUGAUGUCCCGUCUCACACAGAACAAGGACCUGGCACUGUCUGCGUACCUCUUCUAUGGUGAUGGACACACUCACAUUCAUCACAUAUCACACUCUCUAUAUCAUUGGGGUCAAACAUAAGGCCCACGGGAUGCCUUUGCAAAGUGUAGAAAUUACAGAGAAGACUGAUUUUUCAGAACUUGUAUGUAUACAUUUACAAGGCAGGGGGAUAGUUUAACCUACUUCCUGAAUAGUUCUCACUUUAGUUUGUAUUGUGUUGUGUCAGGAUUACUAUACAGAUGUGGAAAUUAAUGUAAAAUAAUUACUAGAUCCUGACGAGUUGUUUUGAUCAUAAAGUAAAUAACUAUAUUGUUUAGUUCCAUAUACCUGUGACUAAAUAUUUCUGUAGAUACACUGUGAUCUGUAAGUAAUGCACAUGUGUAAAUGAUAAACUGAGGAAUAGAAUGGUUUAAAUGGCCCUUAUUUUCUCAAUAUUUACUGGUCCGGGCCAUAGAGAUCAAAUGUGUCUGUACGCUGCUCUAUAUCCUCUUCAUUGGUCUAUUUCAUAUCAUUUUGGGUGUCCCUCUGAAAGAGUCCAGCUUUCUGAUCAAUGCUCUCCUUCUUCAACACUACAAGCGUGGUGCGUACUACCCACAGGGGGGGGCACCAUUGAGUUUGCCUUCCACAUCAUCAAUGUCAUUGAAAAGGCGAGCGGUGCUGUUCUCGUCAGGGCUCCGGUACACCGCGUCCUGCUCAACCGGCAGAACAAGGCCUACGGUGAGAAAAGAGUUGGAGACCAGUUCUGGAAUGCAGUUGCUUUUUUUUAAUGAGAGCGUGCCAAGGUUCAUGGAGCUCAUGAGACAUUCUUUCACACCUGUAUCAGUCUUCUAAGCAGAGCUAUGUCUUUUUGGGCUCCAAGCCAGAACAGAGAUUGGAAGUCGGUCGCAUGACUUCCUGCUUUGUUAACCGCUUUUCAAAACACUCUAGAAAUUGUUACUAGGCUUGAACCAAAACAAAAAUGGGGCACCAGUUUUCAAGCAUUUUUAGGAGUUGGUUAAAUUUACCAAUAUUGUCAUUAACUUGGUUUGUUAUACCUGUUUCCUUUAUUUUAUAAUAUUCUUGUCUGCUUUUACUUAUUUUCUUUGUAAUUGUUGAUUCCUUCCACCUGUGUGUGUUCUCCAGCUUUGUUAAUGUUAUAAGUAUACUGUUCCUAUAUAUGUUUAAGUUUUGAUCAUUUUGUUUGGUACUUUCCCUUUUUUGCACUUGCCUGCUUUUUAGUUUUGUGUUUUUGUAACCAGCUUUGAUUUGAUAAAGCUACAUUUUGGUUUUUCAUAUCUGCCUCCCCUCUUUUGAACUGCUAUUAAGGCCUUAUUUCCUUACCCUUGUGACAAUGGUGCACAAUGGUUUGUCAAACAAAGCACAUGGUGUAGUCCUAAACGAUAGCUGAGGAUUCUGGGUAGUGUAGUGUCUUCUGCCAUCCUAAACUCCGAAAAAAUAUUUGUUUCUCCAAAUAAAAGGGGGAAAAUACAAAAGCAUUGUACACAAUUUAAACCAAUCAAUGUUGUGUAAUUAACAAAGAUAAUUUGUUGUUUUUGAGUUGAUGAGUAGUGCAGAUAUCACUGUAAAAUCAAUCGACAGUAAGGAGACUCCGUUAUCCAAUGGGAAUGGACGCUCACAUUGCCUUUAAACAGCCGCCGACAUAAACGGAUGCGGUGCUUCCAUGAGUGUCAAAUAUCUCCGCCGAUGGGAAUACAUUGCAAUCAGUUGAAAGCUCUUUGCGUCCGUUUAUGAAGCUGAAGGAGCCUCGGCGCGUCCCAACUGCACGC